ACGGAGCAGCCAUGGCUGCUACUGUUCACGGCCAGCCAUGGCUGUUUUAAAAAAAAAUAAAAAUUGCUUUGAUUUAAUUCCAAGGUGAUUUACAAGUUCAAGGAGGUGAUAGCAACAUUGGAUAUUGAAUCGAGAAAGAAGAAAUUGCGAAAUUGGAGCAGUUAAGAUUAGAAAUUCCUCCGAGAAAGUUAAGGCUAAAAGAGCGACGAGGCGAACGGAUUUACGAAUAGUCGCUAACAGGUACAGACGCUUAUUUUGGAGAUCCGUCAGCUUAGGGUACCUAUUCAGCUAUUUUGGACCGCUCCUUUGUUCCGGAGCUAGCUUGUGGUAUAACUCCCUUGUGUUGUAUUCAUAUGUGUUAAAUUGGGUACAGCGGGGCCCUGUCCCGCCAUAUGAUACAGUCAUUACUCUUAGAGGUCUGUGGACAUCUUUGUGGGUCUGUAUGUAGUUGUUGAUGCGUUGUAUGACUAUGACUUAUGUUUGGGGCG